rnacentral:rRNA from 1 species
GGCGGCAGGCCUAACACAUGCAAGUCGAGCGCGACCUUCGGGUUGAGCGGCGGACGGGUUAGUAACGCGUGGGAAUAUGCCCAAAGGUACGGAAUAGCCUCUGGAAACGGAGAGUAAUACCGUAUGUGCCCUUCGGGGGAAAGAUUUAUCGCCUUUGGAUUAGCCCGCGUUAGAUUAGGUAGUUGGUGGGGUAAUGGCCUACCAAGCCUACGAUCUAUAGCUGGUUUUAGAGGAUGAUCAGCAACACUGGGACUGAGACACGGCCCAGACUCCUACGGGAGACAGCAGUGGGGAAUCUUGGACAAUGGGCGCAAGCCUGAUCCAGCCAUGCCGCGUGAGUGAUGAAGGCCUUAGGGUCGUAAAGCUCUUUCGCCAGGGAUGAUAAUGACAGUACCUGGUAAAGAAACCCCGGCUAACUCCGUGCCAGCAGCCGCGGUAAUACGGAGGGGGUUAGCGUUGUUCGGAAUUACUGGGCGUAAAGCGCGCGUANGCGGAUCGGAAAGUUGGGGGUGAAAU